rnacentral:lncRNA from 1 species
UAUUACAUAGUAACUGUAGUCUCUACUGGCUGCUUCAAUACUCACUCAGCACAUAUCUAAAUUUGAAGAAUUGAACUUAAAAAUAUAACCUGAAGGUACAUAGUGUUUUCAGAAUAUGCUGUCAUGAGGAAAGAAUCAGGCUUUAGCUUCUUCCUCAUUUGAAGGCUCAGUUUACCUAGACUGGAAUAUGAACUCAUGAUGAACAUGUAAAGAUUGUCCAUGAUGUCACUGGGUGUGGUGUGGUGCACGCCUUUAAAUCUAACACGUGGGAAGCAGAGGCGGGCAGAUCUUUUGAGUUUGAGGUCAGCUUGGGCUACAGAGUGAUUUCAGGACAGCCAGAGAGAGAGAUCCUGUCUUAAAAAAAGAAAGAAAAAAACUGGUCAUGAUGUAAGUCCAGAUGGAUCCUAGGCAUAAGAAGGAGUUGGUUUGAGUAAACAUCAUGUGAAUGUUUUUGUUUUCUCUCUUACUAUUAGCCAGUUUUGUGAGAGGUAACAUUUUCUGAUGAGGUGUAGAAAAGUGAUUUGCUAUUUAGUCAGCAUUUUUAACUACUGAAAAUUUGUAAGGUCUCUGUGCAUAAUGAAGUAAUACAACAUUGGCUGUCUUUUUGCCAAACUUUGUAAAUAUUAGUAAAUUUUAAAGUACUAAAUUUUCAAAGAGCCAAAUACCUUUUGGGCUGGCUAUAAGGUUCAGUGGGUAGAGCACUUGACACAAAAGCCUGGCAGCCUGAGUGUGAUCCUCACAACCUACAUAAAGGUAGACGGAGAGAACCGACUCCCCAGGUAUCUUCUAACCUUUACAUGUGCUCCCCACACCACAAAUGUCAUACAAAAUAAUAAAUAUAUUUUUUAAAGAAUAUAUCUUGUUUGUAUAUGUAUAUGCACAACCAAAAACUAAAUUCUCAUGUGAGAAUUCUAAAGAAAACCUUUGGCAUACUUUUAAUUACAUUCUUUUAUCUAAACUUAUUUUUAUAUUGUCUCAUCAUGUACAAUAUGAAAUAUAAUUGUCCAGCGUGCAGCUUGGUACUUUUAAUAAUAAUCCCUGCUGUUCUAUGUAUAUUGGAGAAAUAUCUUAUUUGUGAUUUAUCACAAGUUUUCUUUUACAUCUUUCUGAAUGGAUAAAUAUGAAUGGCGCUUCCCUGUCUUUAAAGGAGUCAGUUACUCGUAUAAAAAAACUCACAUUUUAAGUUUGUCUGAAAGAUUUUCAACAUGAUCUGAAGAAGUUCAGAUAAGGGGCAUUCUGUUCCUAAGGAUGUCCUAAAAAUGGAGAGUUAGGAGAAGGGGCUGGUGCUGGAGUUACACGGGAAGGGAACCUGAGACAGGAAUGCCUGUGGAGAAGGGGCUGGUGCUGGAGUUACACGGGGAGGGAACCUGAGACAGGAGUGCCCGUGCCCUGUUUUGAGCCCACAGAUGAUUAGUUACACACGUUUUCACUGGAGUACUUUUCUUAUGCUUCACCUUUGUUGGGGGUGGGGCAGUACAAAGAAGUAAAUUUUCAAAAAUUUUGUGGUAACUCCAUGUCAAAGCCUCUUUGUUUCCAUUUUUAAGCUUAUCUGAACUGUGAACAUGAAAAACUAACAAUUCAUUGGUCAGGAUGGGGCCAUCUGAGGGUUCUAAAGUUUCUUUUUAUAUUAUUACAUUUAAAAUGUCCUUAUUCAGGUAGUUGUAGUUUCUUGCCAUUAUUACAUAUAGUUAGCUUAUUUAUGUAGACCUCUGUUAGAAUCUAGGAUAUGAAAUCUUCUAUCCUUUGGUAUUAUUUAAUAGUUACUUAAAUCUCUAGGAACAUUUAGUAAAGUCUAUUAGUGCUUUCUGUGUGGCCUCGUUUUGCAUUGGACUGCUGUUGAUAGAGGAACACCAAAUGAAAAAAUUUACAUCAAUAGAUUAGGAAUAAAAAUGUUAAGCAGUUUCUAUAAUUAGCUAUAGACAGCUCUAAAACCACUAAAGGCAUGAUAAGAGAAAAAUUUCAAUCUUUAGUUUGGUUAAAAUUUAUUUGAAAGGAGUUUGCAGUCUUAGAGGUAACAUUUUACAUCCACAAAAAUUUGUCCUAAUUUUUAAAAAAGUAACUUAUAUGUCUAUGUGUUGUUUUAUGGUGGCUAAAAGUUCAAGUUCCCAUGUAUUGCAAGAUUAAAUCAAACUAGUGUUCACAUUUCUAAACAAAAUGUAUCAUUACUAUGGAAAGGAUAGAUACAACAGAAAUGGCAGCCAAUAAAGGGAGAGAUCUUUGAAAUUCUACAUCUUGUAAGCCCAUGUCCUUUUGUCACUGGAAGAGGUAAAAGAAUAUUGUACUGCCUUUGGCUUAUGUAUAUAAUCACAGCUGAGACCUACCCAGUGGCUUCCCAGUAAGCUUUGGGUUUGUCCUGUCACCACCACACACUGCAUGUGGCACCUUGGGCAGCAGUUCUGAGCAGAAAGGAUGAUGUAAGAGCAGCUUCGGAUGUGUGUUAGGGAUUGUUUCAUUGGCCUUGCAAGGACCUGUAAAACAUCUGCACAAAAUGGUAAUUAGUUUGUGUCCUACAAACCUUCUACAGUUCCUGGCCAGUAAUUUGGUGCUGUUAGUGUAAUAUGUGGCAGUCCCUCAGGAAAUUUUGUGAUGUGUGUUCUAACUGUUGUCUUUAGUCUCACACGUAGCAACUUCCCUUCCAAGUUGGACACUGUUUUCUUCAAUAUAAUAGUGCACAUAUUGUUUUCUUUGGCUAUAACUGUGUGUCUUUGUGUGUGAAAAAAGAAUAUAUAUAUAUAUGUAUAUAUAUAUUUUUUUAUUAUUAUGUAUAUAGGGGAGAUGAGGUUUUCUUUACAACUAAUUGUAAUUUUUACCAUUAACUGCUUAUAUUGACUAUGGCAUCAACUGUGGUGCUUCUGUUUUGGGAGCUUAUAUAGAAAAAAAGACAGUCUUUGGAAUAUUACUGCUUGGGAAUUGGAAAGGAGCUCCAUCCUUACAAACUACUAAGGACAUGAGGGUUUGCUCACACUAAAAUACUUUUAAAGGAGCUCAGACUUCUGGCACCACGCUCACUAAGCAGUGCAUGUGACCAAGCCAAAGUACAUUAGUGUUUGAUCAUUAUGACAUUUUGUUUAUUUUUUUAGGUCAAGU